rnacentral:rRNA from 1 species
AUUGAACGCUGGCGGCAGGCUUAACACAUGCAAGUCGAGCGGGGACUUCGGUCCUAGCGGCGAACGGGUGAGGAAUGCUUGGGAAUCUGCCCAGUAGCGGGGGAUAACGUUUCGAAAGGAACGCUAAUACCGCAUACGCCCUACGGGGGAAAGGGGGGGAUCUUCGGACCUCUCACUAUUGGAUGAGCCCAAGUCGGAUUAGCUAGUUGGUGGGGUAAAGGCCUACCAAGGCGACGAUCCGUAGCUGGUCUGAGAGGAUGAUCAGCCACACUGGAACUGGGACACGGUCCAGACUCCUACGGGAGGCAGCAGUGGGGAAUAUUGGACAAUGGGCGAAAGCCUGAACCAGCCAUGCCGCGUGUGUGAAGAAGGCCUUCGGGUUGUAAAGCACUUUAAGCGAGGAGGAAUGGCUCUGGGUUAAUACCCUUGAGCAGUGACGUUACUCGCAGAAUAAGCACCGGCUAACUCUGUGCCAGCAGCCGCCGUAAAAC